AGAGUUUGAUCAUGGCUCAGGAUGAACGCUAGCGGCAGGCCUAAUACAUGCAAGUCGAACGGUAAGUCCCGCCUCGGCGGGAACACGAGUGGCGCACGGGUGCGUAACGCGUAUGCAACCUACCUUUAACUGGGGAAUAGCCCCGAGAAAUCGGGAUUAACACCCCAUAAUAAUAAAAUAUGACAUCAUUUUUUAUUUAAAGUUCCGGCGGUUAAAGAUGGGCAUGCGUGACAUUAGUUAGUUGGUGAGGUAACGGCUCACCAAGGCAACGAUGUCUAGGGGUUCUGAGAGGAUUAGCCCCCACACUGGUACUGAGACACGGACCAGACUCCUACGGGAGGCAGC
rnacentral:rRNA from 1 species